GCCCGCCUAGCUCAAUCGGAUAGAGCGUCAGACUCUUAUGAGACUGCAAUCGGCGGGUAUCUGAAGGCUGCGAGUUCGACCCUCGCGGUGGGCU